GUGCUCUUGUUUCGGCAGCACAUAUACUAAAAUUGGAAUGAUACAGAGAAGAUUAGCAUGGCCCCUGCGCAAAUGACGCGCAAAUUCGUGAAGCGCUCAAUAUUUUU
ensembl:snRNA U6 U6 spliceosomal RNA